rnacentral:rRNA from 1 species
AACGAACGCUGGCGGCAGGCUUAACACAUGCAAGUCGAACGCCCCGCAAGGGGGGUGGCAGACGGGUAAGUAACACGUGGGAACGUGCCUUUAGGUUCGGAAUAACUCAGGGAAACUUGUGCUAAUACCGAAUGUGCCCUUCGGGGGAAAGAUUUAUCGCCUUUAGAGCGGCCCGCGUCCGAUUAGCUAGUUGGUGAGGUAAAGGCUCACCAAGGCUACGAUCAGUAGCUGGUCUGAGAGGAUGACCAGCCACAUUGGGACUGAGACACGGCCCAAACUCCUACGGGAGGCAGCAGUGGGGAAUCUUGCGCAAUGGGCGAAAGCCUGACGCAGCCAUGCCGCGUGGAUGAUGAAGGUCUUAGGAUUGUAAAAUCCUUUCACCGGUGAAGAUAAUGACUGUAGCCGGAGAAGAAGCCCCGGCUAACUUCGUGCCAGCCGCCGCCGUAAGAC